rnacentral:rRNA from 1 species
AUGCGUCAAAAGGAUUCGUCUGCCCAAGGAUGGGUCUGCGGCCUAUCAGGUAGUAGUGGGUGUAAUGUACCUACUAGCCAGCGACGGGUACGGGUUGUGAGAGCAAGAGCCCGGAGAUGGAUUCUGAGACAUGAAUCCAGGCCCUACGGGGCGCAGCAGGCGCGAAAACUUUACAAUGCGGGAAACCGUGACAAGGGGACACCGAGUGCCAGCAUCAUAUGCUGGCUGUCCGGAUGUGUAAAAUACAUCCGUUAGCAAGGGCCGGGCAAGACCGGUGCCAGCCGCCGCGGUAACACCGGCGGCCCGAGUGGUGAUCGUGAUUAUUGGGUCUAAAGGGUCCGUAGCCGGUUUGGUCAGUCCUCCGGGAAAUCUGAUAGCUUAACUAUUAGGCUUUCGGGGAUACUGCCAGACUUGGAACCGGGAGAGGUAAGAGGUACUACAGGGGUAGGAGUGAAAUCUUGUAAUCCCUGUGGGACCACCUGUGGCGAAGGCGUCUUACCAGAACGGGUUCGACGGUGAGGGACGAAAGCUGGGGGCACGAACCGGAUUAGAUACCCGGGUAGUCCCAGCCGUAAACGAUGCUCGCUAGGUGUCAGCAUGGCGCGACCGUGUCUGGUGCCGCAGGGAAGCCGUGAAGCGAGCCACCUGGGAAGUACGGCCGCAAGGCUGAAACUUAAAGGAAUUGGCGGGGGAGCACAACAACGGGUGGAGCCUGCGGUUUAAUUGGACUCAACGCCGGACAACUCACCGGGGGCGACAGCAAUAUGUAGGCCAAGCUGAAGACUUUGCCUGAAUCGCUGAGAGGAGGUGCAUGGCCGUCGCCAGUUCGUACUGUGAAGCAUCCUGUUAAGUCAGGCAACGAGCGAGACCCGUGCCCACUGUUACCAGCAUGUCCUCCGGGACGAUGGGUACUCUGUGGGGACCGCCGAUGUUAAAUCGGAGGAAGGUGCGGGCCACGGUAGGUCAGUAUGCCCCGAAUCUCCCGGGCUACACGCGGGCUACAAUGGAUGGGACAAUGGGUCCCUCCCCUGAAAAGGGCUGGUAAUCUCACAAACCCAUUCGUAGUUCGGAUCGAGGGCUGUAACUCGCCCUCGUGAAGCUGGAAUCCGUAGUAAUCGCGU